rnacentral:rRNA from 1 species
UACGUAGGUGGCAAGCGUUGUCCGGAAUUAUUGGGCGUAAAGAGCUCGUAGCGGUCUGUUGCGUCCGCUGUGAAAACUCGGGCUUAACCCCGAGCCUGCAGUGGAUACGGGCAGACUAGAGGUAGGUAGGGGAGAAUGGAAUUCCCGGUGUAGCGGUGAAAUGCGCAGAUAUCGGGAGGAACACCGGUGGCGAAGGCGGUUCUCUGGCCUUACCUGACGCUGAGGAGCGAAAGCGUGGGGAGCGAACAGG